rnacentral:rRNA from 1 species
UGACAGCAUCUAAGUGGGAAACCGGCCACAAGAUAAGUCCUCCAGACACGCAAGUGUGAGAGGCGCCUGGAAGAUCACCAGGCAGGCGACUGGGGGUGGAGGCCCGGCGACGGGUAGAGCCCACCAGAGCGCACAGCCAAGCG